rnacentral:lncRNA from 1 species
GAGAGCCAAAGAAGAGAGAGUACAGCUAGAGUGAAAGAAGAUCUUGAUUCAGCAAGGGUGGUAUAAAAGAGGAGAUCUGACAGUUAAAUGGGAGUGAAGAAAAAGCAUCAGGGAAGUUAGUAAGGUUGCAACAGGUAUUAACGAAGCAGGGAAGACCAGGGUCAGUUCGCAGGUCUGUGGUUUAACAAAGUAUUUAAAAUGGGAUUAUUUGGGGGUAUUUUAGACGCUUAGCUUUUAAACAUGUGGGCCUGAGCUGGUCGUUCUCAGCUCUCAUUAUAUCAACAAGGAGAAAUAAGCACUUCAAGGGUGAGAUUCUUCUGACCUAGUUUAGAUGUCUGUCUUUGCAGUGAGCCAAUAAUCUCACCCUAUGAGGUGGCUAGUUCAGAUCUAGCUGUCUGAAUAUUUGGUAUCUGUGUUAUGACAGCAAAUCCCUUUCAGUGUUAAAAGGUCAGAGAAGGGCAGAAGGUGAUGGACCAAGGAGAGGGGAUCAGGGCUAAAGGAAAUGCAUGAAGGACAGCUGCAGUUACAAGGCUGGUGGAAGAGAGAAACAACUUCAUUUCUAACUCAGCAUUGCUCUGUGCUCAGCAGGGAACCUGCGCUCAGGGAGAAGUGACCUGUGAUUCUGACUCACUCAGUUUGAGAUGCUAUUAUGCUUCUGACACUGCUUUACAUAUUCAGUGUACGUGCAAAUAGGAUGAGGCCUGCACUUACACUCGACGAGCGGGAGUAAUACUGUCAUCAGUCUAACUGAGCAAUGUCUGGGUGAAUUGAUAGCGGAAAAUGCGGGGAACAUGCACUCAGAUUCAGAGUAGCUUCACCAGACAACUGUCUGCUGCUUGACUGACUAUUCAACAGCUCACCUGCUCUUGUGUUACAGACUGACUGGACUUGCACAGAAAGUGAGUUGGAAAGGGAAGUAUCUAAAACUUUUGGAGAUUUCUGCUUACUGUAAUAUUUUCAUGUAUUAGAAGAAAAGUAAAAUGGUUUGAUAAGAUAGAAUGGGAUUCUGUGCUGCUCUGUAUUAUAUAUUUUAUUUUCACAGGUUAACUCUGCUGUUUUCAUAUCUUAGGAAGAAGAUCUAAUUCUAUUUUAUUUAAAAAAUUAUGCAAUUCUUCUGAUAAUGCAAAUAGGUCUCACCUGAACUGGGAUUACAGUAGGUUCCUGUGAGGAUCUCAAAGUAGGCACAGAGAUCCCAAUGUAGAAAGUCAAUCUGAGGAAGAAAUACAGCAACUCAAAUCAGCCUGGCUUCAUUUUCUUUGUUUCAGGAUAAACUUCCCAAUAAACAGGAUUUAAUUUUUUUCA